UUGAACGCUGGCGGCAGGCCUAACACAUGCAAGUCGAACGGUAACAGGAAGAAGCUUGCUUCUUUGCUGACGAGUGGCGGACGGGUGAGUAAUGUCUGGGAAACUGCCUGAUGGAGAGGGAUAACUACUGGAAACGGUAGCUAAUACCGCAUAACGUCGCAAGACCAAAGAGGGGGACCUUCGGGCCUCUUGCCAUCGGAUGUGCCCAGAUGGGAUUAGCUAGUAGGUGGGGUAACGGCUCACCUAGGCGACGAUCCCUAGCUGGUCUGAGAGGAUGACCAGCCACACUGGAACUGAGACACGGUCCAGACUCCUACGGGAGGCAGCAGUGGGGAAUAUUGCACAAUGGGCGCAAGCCUGAUGCAGCCAUGCCGCGUGUAUGAAGAAGGCCUUCGGGUUGUAAAGUACUUUCAGCGGGGAGGAAGGGAGUAAAGUUAAUACCUUUGCUCAUUGACGUUACCCGCAGAAGAAGCACCGGCUAACUCCGUG
rnacentral:rRNA from 1 species